rnacentral:rRNA from 1 species
GACGAACCGUGCGAACGUUGUUCGGAAUCACUGGGCUUAAAGGGCGCGUAGGCGGGCUGCCGCGUCCGGGGUGAAAUCCCACGGCUCAACCGUGGAACUGCCUCGGAUACGGGCGGUCUUGAGGGGGGUAGGGGCACGCGGAACUGUGGGUGGAGCGGUGAAAUGCGUUGAUAUCCACAGGAACUCCGGUGGCGAAGGCGGCAUACUGGACCACCUCUGACGCUGAGGCGCGAAAGCCAGGGGAGCAAACGGG